UACAGAGGGUGCGAGCGUUAAUCGGAAUUACUGGGCGUAAAGCGCGCGUAGGCGGCUUUGCAAGUCGGGUGUGAAAUCCCCAGGCUUAACCUGGGAACUGCAUUCGAGACUGCAUUGCUAGAGUAUGGGAGAGGGAAGUGGAAUUUCCGGUGUAGCGGUGAAAUGCGCAGAUAUCAGGAGGAACACCGGUGGCGAAGGCGGUGAUCUGGGCCGGCACUGACGCUGAGGAGCGAAAGCGUGGGUAGCAAACAGG
rnacentral:rRNA from 1 species